rnacentral:ncRNA from 1 species
AGUGGCAUUAGGCGAUGGAUGUGUAGGAUAGGCGGGAGGCUUUGAAGCGAAGGCGCCAGCUUUCGUGGAGCCAUCCUUGAAAUACCGCCCUUCCGUCUCCUGAUGUCUAACCGCGGCCCGUGAUCCGGGUCCGGGACCCU